UUAGUUUUUUUAUUUACCUACAUUUAGUACUCCAUGCAUGGGUUAUUUGCUAUAUUUAAUGUUUCGAUGUGAUUUUGAUGUGAUGGAAAGUUUGGAUUUUUGGGGGGUUUUGGGGAUCUAAACACACCCUGAAUAAAUCAUUGAAUCUGGAACAGACCAGAUUAAUGGUGGAACGAGUGAUCCAGAAGAACACAGAAAGGUAUGUUCCCUUUCAUUUCUAUUGAUCCACCCACACAAUUUCUUUGUUCCUUGACGUUCCAAAAGUUCUUAUAAUAUUUUGGAAGUAACUCUGUGGUGAUUUUACUAAUACUAUUAUUAUGUUUUGAAUUCAGCCAUUAUUGCUUAGUCGUCCAUAAAUAUUUCUUCAUGAUCUUUGCUUUGAUAAACCGUUUAUCAAAAGUCACAGCAUAAUAAUUUGUUGUCGAAGUACUGCUACAGUUUUCACCCUUUGGAAAGCUAAUAAAUGUGAAAGAAGAAUAUGGAGAGCUUUCUUUAAUAGCAAGGCAGGGAUCUGGGAGUGCAUACCGCAGUAUGUAUGGUGGAUUUGUGAAAUGGUGUAUGGGAAAAAAAGAUGAUGGGAGUGACAGUAUUGCGGUGCUGCUUGCUGAUGAAGCACAUUGGAAGGAUCUUGUAAUUAUUAUUGCUGUGAUAUGUGUCUAUCUGAUCUAUAUUCCACAUGACCUACUACAUAUUCUUCUCAUUGUCAUGUGGCUUCAGUGAUAGCAAUUAUGAAUUGUGUAGUAACUCUUCUUCAUGUUCCUUACCUGUAAAUUUCCCUUUAAUUUUGCUCUAUGUGGUAUGGUAAAUAGUUGAUGCACAUUUGCGAAUUAGUUCAGUUCAAAGCAUAAGGAAACAAGUAGCACCAGUAUAGUGUUGAAACAAGCCCCAGGUGAUUGUGUUCUCAUUAUGAACUUGAACUUGUUCAAACAGUUCACUGAUAGGAGCUUAAAUUUCUCAAAAAUAUUUUCCCCUCUUCUUAUUGUGCAUUGCGCUGGUUGUUCUUAUGCUUCAGACUGUAGUGCCAAGUCGGGUGUUGAAAAUGGAAGAGGCCAUCAAGAAUCACGACUUUGAAUCGUUUGCCAAGUUAACUUGUGCUGAUAGCAAUCAGAUCCAUGCUGUAUGUUUAGAUACAAGCCCUCCCAUCUUUUAUAUGAAUGAUACAUCACACAGGAUAAUUAGCCUUGUAGAAAAGUGGAACCACUCGGAAGGAUACCCACCACAGGUUGCCUACACCUUCGAUGCUGGCCCUAACGCCGUUUUAAUUGCACGAGACCGUAAAACUGCAGCACUUCUCCUUCAGAAGCCCUUGUACUAUUUCCCUCCACAAGACAAGGAUUUGAGCUGAGCUGCUAUUUGGUCGGCGACAAAUCAAUUCUAAGUGAUGCUGGAUUGCAUUCCAUAGAAGACGUCGAGGCUCUCCCAGCGCCUCCAGAGAUGAAGAUACAUGAUCAGAAAUUCAAGGGCGAUGUUAGCUACUUCAUCUGCAGCAGGCUUGGGGCUAGCCCAAAGGUUGUCACUGACGAAAGCCAAGCGCUGCUGAAUUCAGUCACGGGGCUUCCAAAAGGAGCCUGAUUUUAGAGUACUGGUUUGGUUUGAUACAUUAGCAUUGUGUACUGUUUGGUUUUUAUGCUGUGAAUUACAUCAUAUCCUACUGUAAUUUGUAGUGCUGUAGGUCUGAUCCUGUAAUAUUGUCGAUCCAUCCAUUUGGACAGCUAAGGAAUUGGUCUGAUCCUGUAAUAUUGUCGAUCCAUCCAUUUGGACAGCUAAGAAAUUGAUGAAAGUAGCAGAGAAAAAUGACCAAAAUGUUAACAGACUUGAUGAUGCGAGUGUCUCUGAACUGCAGAAUGGAAACUUGCCUGCUAAUGUAAGCACUUGGUUACACUGUGCUUGAGACAUUCUGACAAUUACAUUUUGGUGUCCCUUCUUCCAA